CCUCGUAAGAUAUAACGGGGCUCAAACUGGUAACCGAAGCUACGGGUGCAUCCUUUUGGAUGUGCGGUAGAGGAGCGUUCUGUAAGCCGUUGAAGGUGUGUCGUAAGGCAUGCUGGAGGUAUCAGAAGUGCGAAUGCUGACAUGAGUAACGAUAAAGGGGGUGAAAGACCCCCUCGCCGAAAGAUCAAGGUUUCCUGUCCAACGUUAAUCGGGACAGGGUUAGUCGGCUCCUAAGGCGAGGCUGAAAGGCGUAGUCGAUGGGAAACAGGUUAACAUUCCUGUACCGGCUUUUACUGCGAUGGAGUGACGGAGAAGGCUAGACUAGCACGGCGUUGGUUGUCCGUGUUUAAGCGUGUAGGGGGAUCUCUUAGGUAAAUCCGGGGGGUCAUAACUCUGAGACGUAAUGACGAGUUGGUCCUUGUGACCGACGAAGUAGUUGAUGCCAUACUUCCAGGAAAAGCUUCUAAGCUUCAGGUAAAAGACGACCGUACUGUAAACCGACACAGGUGAUCUGGUAGAGAAUACCGAGGCGCUUGAGAGAACUUGGGUGAAUGAACUAGGCAAAAUGGUACCGUAACUUCGGGAGAAGGUACGCUCCCUCGCGUGAAGGACUUGCUCCGUAAGCGCUGGGGAGUCGAAGAAACCAGGUAGCUGCAACUGUUUAUUAAAAACACAGCACUCUGCAAACACGUAAGUGGACGUAUAGGGUGUGACGCCUGCCCGGUGCCGGAAGGUUAAUUGAUGGGGUCAGCGCAAGCGAAGCUCUUGAUCGAAGCCCCGGUAAACGGCGGCCGUAACGAUAACGGUCCUAAGGUAGCGAAAUUCCUUGUCGGGUAAGUUCCGACCUGCACGAAUGGCGUAAUGAUGGCUACACUGUCUCCACCCAAGACUCAGUGAAAUUGAAAUCGCUGUUAAGAUGCAGUGUACCCGCGGCUAGACGGAAAGACCCCGUGAACCUUUACUAUAGCUUCACAUUGGACUUUGAUAUUACUUGUGUAGGAUAGCUGGGAGGCACUGAAGCGCGGACGCUAGUUUGCGUGGAGCCAACCUUGAAAUACCAGCCUGGUGAUGUCGGGGUUCUAACUUAGGUCCCUAAUCGGGAUUGAGGACAAUGUGUGGUGGGUAGUUUGACUGGGGCGGUCUCCUCCCAAAGAGUAACGGAGGAGCACGAAGGUACCCUAAUGACGGUCGGAAAUCGUCAGGUUUGUGCAUAGGCAUAAGGGUGCUUGACUGCGAGACUGACAAGUCGAGCAGGUGCGAAAGCAGGUCUAAGUGAUCCGGUGGUUCUGAAUGGAAGGGCCAUCGCUCAACGGAUAAAAGGUACUCCGGGGAUAACG
rnacentral:rRNA from 1 species